UGGCUAUAGCUAUAUUAAUUAUGGCUGAGAAGCUCACUGGCUGGUUGUUGUAUGAGAUUUCUUUGAGAUAAUUGUUGACAUAUCUGCUUACUGAGGUUCUCACAUUU